AACGAACGCUGGCGGCAGGCUUAACACAUGCAAGUCGAGCGCCCCGCAAGGGGAGCGGCAGACGGGUGAGUAACGCGUGGGAAUCUACCCAUCUCUACGGAAUAACGCAUGGAAACGUGUGAGAAUACCGUAUACGUCCUUCGGGAGAAAGAUUUAUCGGAGGUGGAUGAGCCCGCGUUGGAUUAGCUAGUUGGUGGGGUAAAGGCAUACCAAGGCGACGAUCCAUAGCUGGUCUGAGAGGAUGAUCAGCCACACUGGGACUGAGACACGGCCCAGACUCCUACGGGAGGCAGCAGUGGGGAAUAUUGGACAAUGGGCGCAAGCCUGAUCCAGCCAUGCCGCGUGAGUGAUGAAGGCCCUAGGGUUGUAAAGCUCUUUCACCGGUGAAGAUAAUGACGGUAACCGGAGAAGAAGCCCCGGCUAACUUCGUGCCAGCCGCCGCAGUAACAC
rnacentral:rRNA from 1 species